UACGAAGGGGGCUAGCGUUGCCCGGAAUCACUGGGCGUAAAGCGCACGUAGGCGGAUUGCUAAGUCAGGGGUGAAAUCCUGGAGCUCAACUCCAGAACUGCCUUUGAUACUGGCGAUCUCGAGUUCGGGAGAGGUGAGUGGAACUGCGAGUGUAGAGGUGAAAUGCGUAGAUAUUCGCAAGAACACCAGUGGCGAAGGCGGCUCACUGGCCCGAUACUGACGCUGAGGUGCGAAAGCGUGGGGAGCAAACAGG
rnacentral:rRNA from 1 species